CUAACUGUUCUUGUUAACUGAUGUGUGUCA
rnacentral:piRNA from 1 species